rnacentral:rRNA from 1 species
UGGGGAAUAUUGGGCAAUGGGCGCAAGCCUGACCCAGCAACGCCGCGUGAAGGAAGAAGGCUUUCGGGUUGUAAACUUCUUUUAAGAGGGAAGAGCAGAAGACGGUACCUCUUGAAUAAGCCACGGCUAACUACGUCGCC